GACGAACGCUGGCGGCGUGCUUAACACAUGCAAGUCGAACGAAGUGGCGAACGGGUGAGUAAUACGUGUGUAAAUGCCCUCCUUUUUGGGAUAAGCCUUGGAAACGGGGUCUAAUACCGAAUAAAGGGGGAUGGGCUCGCGGCCUAUCAGUUUGUGGGUGGGGUGAUGGCCUACCAAGGCGGUGACGGGUAGCCGGCCUGAGCGGGGACCGGCCGCAUUGGGCUGAGACACGGCCCAGACUCCUACGGGAGGCAGCAGUGUGGAAUAUUGGGCAAUGGGCGCAAGGCUGACACAGCAACGCGGCUUGAAGGAAGACGGUCUUCGGAUUGUAGACUUCUUUAGACAGAGACGCGGUACCUGUAGAAUAAGCCACGGCUAACUACGUGCCAGCAGCCGCGGUAAUAC
rnacentral:rRNA from 1 species